rnacentral:rRNA from 1 species
AACGAACGCUGGCGGCAGGCUUAACACAUGCAAGUCGAACGCAUCGCAAGAUGAGUGGCAGACGGGUGAGUAACGCGUGGGAACAUACCCUUUUCUACGGAAUAGCUCUGGGAAACUGGAAUUAAUACCGUAUACGCCCUACGGGGGAAAGAUUUAUCGGGGAAGGAUUGGCCCGCGUUGGAUUAGCUAGUUGGUGGGGUAAAGGCCUACCAAGGCGACGAUCCAUAGCUGGUCUGAGAGGAUGAUCAGCCACAUUGGGACUGAGACACGGCCCAAACUCCUACGGGAGGCAGCAGUGGGGAAUAUUGGACAAUGGGCGCAAGCCUGAUCCAGCCAUGCCGCGUGAGUGAUGAAGGCCUUAGGGUUGUAAAGCUCUUUCGCCGAUGAAGAUAAUGACGGUAGUCGGAGAAGAAGCCCCGGCUAACUUCGUGCCAGCAGCCGCAGUAA